rnacentral:rRNA from 1 species
ACGAACUCUGGCGGCGUGCUUAACACAUGCAAGUCGCACGGAAAGGCCCUGCUUUUGUGGGGUGCUCGAGUGGCGAACGGGUGAGUAACACGUGAGUAACCUGCCCUUGACUUUGGGAUAACUUCAGGAAACUGGGGCUAAUACCGGAUAGGAGCUCCUGCUGCAUGGUGGGGGUUGGAAAGUUUCGGCGGUUGGGGAUGGACUCGCGGCUUAUCAGCUUGUUGGUGGGGUAGUGGCUUACCAAGGCUUUGACGGGUAGCCGGCCUGAGAGGGUGACCGGCCACAUUGGGACUGAGAUACGGCCCAGACUCCUACGGGAGGCAGCAGUGGGGAAUAUUGCACAAUGGGCGGAAGCCUGAUGCAGCAACGCCGCGUGCGGGAUGACGGCCUUCGGGUUGUAAACCGCUUUCGCCUGUGACGAAGCGUGAGUGACGGUAAUGGGUAAAGAAGCACCGGCUAACUACGUG